UUUUUUUUUUAAAGAGCCAGGUGUGGUGGCACACGCCUUUGAUCCCAGCACUUGAGAGGCUGAGACAGGAAGAUCACGAGUUUGAAGCCAGCCAACAGCCUGGCCCAGGGCCACUGCAGAUGGUGCUAAGCCUAGUGGGCAGCCAGCCUUCAUGUGCUCCCAUGCUUUCCUUCGGACCACUCCUCCCACUGUCAGUUAUUUCCAGGAAGAGCCCAGCCAUGGUGGCCAAGUCUCAGGUGAGCUGGCCUUCAGAGAGCAACUGCCAUCUGGGCCUCACAGUUUUAGCCUGGAGUCCCUCACCCAGCACACCCUUGGGGUCAGAACAGCAUCUUCCCUGGAUUCAGGCCCACCUUGCCAGCUGCUCCUUCCCACCAAGCUGAGCCGAUCACAGGGCUUGGAGAGAGACCCCAGUUUUGAGGGUACAGUAUUUCCACACAGUUAUCCUUUCCCCUGCCCACCUCUACCCACCAACACUUUUCCCCAGCAUCUACCUGGAAGGCUGGGAGAUGCACACAGAGCCUCUACCUGUACCCUCAGAUUGGGUGAGGGGUUCUGAGCAGCAAGCACCUAUUAUUAUAGGACAUGAUGACCUUCAAGGACGUUGCUCUGUAAUUUACUUUGGAAAAGGCACAGUACCUGGGCCCACAGCAGAGAGAGCUCUACUGGGACAUGAUGCUGGAGAGCUACCAUGCCCUGAGGGCUCUGGGUGAGCACCACACAGUGGGGCCUUAGUUCCUGCAUCCCAGUGCCUGGUCUCUGGCUCUCUUGGUGCUCAGUAGACCAAACACCCCGGUCCAGGUCAGUGCCCUUGUUCUAUAGGGAGUGUCUAGUGGACUCAUCCUCUAAUCCCUUUCUCUUUGAACCUCCUCUGGGGCCCUUCUCCUCUGUUCUCCUCAGUGGCCCUCAGGCUGGGCAGCUUUGAUUUUCCAGCACUGACAGUUAUCUUCUUGAUGAACAGAGUUUCCAGAGUUCAGAUCCAGGGUCAUCUCUGGGGGAGGAAUGCCAAGGAUUGUGGCCCUGUGGGUCCUCCCUGUACAGGUGAAUGACAGCAAGUUUCCCAGGGAAGUGCGGUAUGUAAGCUGCAAGCAAUGUAGCAUGGAGGGCAGAUGGCCUUGAUUGUCCUUUGUGGGGAGCCACAUUGAGGUACCACGCCUUUCAGUCCUAAUGCACCACGGGGAUCUGAAAGAUCACUGUAGUCUGGUGCUGUAGUGCCAUGACUCCUGAUUCGGUCUCCUUGCCCCCACCUCAGAGGCCAAUCUUCUCAGUGGGCAUACCCCUGGGGUUGAACCACACUCACCUGUUCUUUUGUAAUCCUACCCCUUUGCCCUGUUUGGAAUAGAAUGUUCCAUGGAAACGCCCUUUGUGUGUCCCCUUCUCUUGGUCUGCCUUUGGGUGUGGCCUUCCUAGAUGUCAGUCAAUCUACUGACAGCAGACAUCAGGAAGCUGGACUCAACUCCUUGAAACCUGACCCCUUGCCUCAUUUGAGUGGCUUCUCCCCAAUAAAAUAGUUCAGCACUCACUCUCUCUUUUUGCACAGACCCCUAAGGUCAGAGGAGCCAUCACAGGACCCAAAGAAAAAGGUCUCUCUGACUCUUGUGUGAUUAUUUCAUGCAGCCCAGUUCCCCUGGAGUGACCCUGAGUGUUUUAGUCCUGAGAAACGCGACAGUCCUUUACCAACUCCCCUCCUGCCCCUAUCCCUCCAAGUACAAGUCCACAGUGACACCAUGUGCUGCUGCUCAGGUGAGAUGCUCAUUUUCUUGGUGUCUACAUGAUAGGCCAAUUAGGACUUGGGUUUCAUUAUAAACAGAACACUGCACUGUGUCUACAUUUGGAACAUGCCAUCAGCAGAAGGACCCUUUCACUCAUUCCAUCAACAUUCCUGUCACUCAUUCCAUCAAUAAGCCCGAAUUGAGUGCACCCAUGUGUAGUCAUUCUUCUACGUGCUGAGGUUAAGAUUAAGCAAAACCAAGUCUUUGCAUGGAGUUUGCAUGUUAGUCUGGGGGGUGGGCAUCCAGCUAGAGAGGAAUUCUCUGUCCUGAACCUGAUGUCCUAUUGUUGACUCCCCAUUAGGCUGCCAACUCCGUGGGGGCAGGGUCUCUAUUCCUAACUGAACUCCUGGCACCAGGAUCUAUGUCUGGCUCUUAGAAGGCACAUGGCAGGCACUGAGCAGGUGUGCUCCUUUAGUUGUCAGCACUAAAAUGAAAGGGAAAAAACAUAGUCUGUUUAGGGUUCAGUGCUAACCUGUUUCUGGUGUCCACUGGAGGUCUUAGAACAUAUCCCUACAUGGAGAUUGUAAGUGGGGACACCUGUACCUUCCUUCUCCUUUCACAGGCAUGCCUUUAAUUUCCCCUUCUGUGUUUCAGAUUUUCAAGUCAAGACAAAGUGUCAUCAGUUAACUUCAAAGGAAGAAUCUUUUGGAAAAGAAUUUCAAGCAAUGACUCAGAAAGUUUCCCUAAGAGGCAAUCCAGAGGCAUCUAAGUCUCAACAAGCUUUUAGGACCGAGGCAGGAGCAGAACAUUCAUGGAAAAAAAAAUCACAGGAAUGGGCACAAGGAAGUUCUUUUCACAGAAGAAAGGUUCCAGGCAAAUGGCCAGCACCCCUGAAAACCAACACAGCAGGGAAAGACCAGAAAUAUAACAAAUUGGAAUGUGUGUUUCUGGGUACAGAGGCAUCAGAGGGAUGGGCCACGACAAAACACUGGUGGAUAGAGGGUAGGUAGCCAAGGUGUUCCGUGGGAACCAGGCCUGAGUGGUCAGGUGGCAGGUCCCAAUGGGUCAAAGCCUAUGGAUAUCAUGUGUGUGGGAACUUUUUCAGCAAAAACUCACACCUUUUUUGACUUCAGAAAAUUCAUACUAGAGGUGCUGGGGGUGUGGCUCAAGCGGUAGCGCGCUCGCCUGGCAUGCGUGAGGCCCAGGUUCAAUCCUCAGCACCACAUACAAACAAAGAUGUAGUGUCCGCCGAAAACUAAAAAAUAAAUAUUAAAAUUCUCUCUCUCUCUCUCUCUCUCUCUAAAUGUAUUGUGUUCAUCUACAACUAAAAAUAAAAAAAGAAAAAGAAAAUUCAUACUAAGAGAAGCCCUGUGGAUGAAUUCAGUGUGGGAAAAAAUUCCAUCAUGACUCAAUCCUUAAUGGACAUCAGAGAGUUCACUAGAUAGAAACCAUACCUGUGUAAUGAAUGUAGCAAGGGAUUUAAUAGGAAUUCAAUUUUGUGUGUGUGUGUGUGUGUGUGUGUGUGGUCCUGGGGAUUGAACCCAGGGCUUUUGGCAUGUAAGGCACGCACUCUGCCACCUGAGCUAUAUACCCAGCCCCAAACCUUUUUUUAAAUAUCUGUAUAUUUUUUUUAGUUAUAGAUGGACACAAUACCUUUAUUUUGUUUAUUUUUUAAGUGGUGCUGAGGAUUAAACCCAGUGCUUCACACAUGCUAGGCAAGUGCUCUACCACAGAGCCUCAACCCCCGCCUUCAAAUCUUAUUAAACACCAGUUGGUAGAUAAUGGAGAGAAGCUCUGCAAAUGCAAUGAGUGUGGGAAAGCCUUUAAUCAGAAAGCAAAUCUCAUUAAACAUCAGAGUUCAUACAGGAGAAAAGCCCUUGGCAUGUAGAAUUUGGGGAAGCUUCAGCCAGCUGUCACACUCAACCCUGCAUCCAGGUUAUGUCCUACAGAAAGGCCCUAUAGAUGCUAGGAGUGUGGCAAAGGCUUUGGUCAAAUAUCACUCCUGACUGGUCACCAAAGAAUGAAAGUCGGGAUGAGCCCUAUGUGUGCACCGAGUGUGAGUCUUUUUCAGACGUCACACUUGAUUUAUCACCACAGAACACACUCCAGAAGGAAGCCCCAUGAGUUCCACCAGCGUGGGAAAGCUUCAGCCAGAACUCCACCCUCAUCAGACACCAGCUCGCCCACAGGUGCAGAGCAUGUACCAGCCAAGUGGAUGUGCCACGUCCACAGCAUGAGCUGCCUCCCAGCACUGCCACAAGAGUUCAGGAGGAACCUUCCCUUGGUGCCUGCAGAAACAUCUAGGAAUAUGGCAAAGGCAGAAAUGCCUUCUGCUAGCUCGUCAGGCAGUGUCUGAGGUUCCUAGUACAGGGCCCUGUGGGUGCAAUGGGUGUGGAAGAAGCAUCUAGUAAGAAAGGCUUUGGUGCACUAUGGCAGAAGGUAGACUUCCAGGGGUCACGGUUGCCAGCUACUCCUUUGAACCCCAGCAGGUUCUUGCCCAUGGUAGCUGCCCCCUGUGGUGUACUAUUAUGGAAUGGGGACAAAGACAGCCUUAGGAGAAGCCAGUGAUAUAUUAUGUGGCCUGAUCCCAGAAUGUAGGCCAAGAGAGAAGCAGGUUAAGAAGUGAGUCCCCAGGAUGGGUCAUAGGAAAAGGUGAAACUAUUCUGAUGGGGGGCAAUCUACCAGGGAUUGAACUCAAGGGCACUGGACCCCUGAGCCACAUCCCCAGCCCUACUUUGUGUUUUAUUUAGAGACAGGGUCUCACGGAGUUGCUUAGCUCCUCCCUGUUGCUGAGACUGGCUUUGAACUCCCGAUCCUCCUGCCUCAGCCUCCUGAGCUGCUGGGAUGACAGGCGUGAGGUGAAGCUGUUUGGUGGUGGCCAAACCUGUAUCCGGAACAGUGUGAUAAGCAGGGCUGCAUGAAACCUACAUAGAGGAGAGAAGCAGGAAACUGCCGGGGAGGGCAGGGUCAACUGGAGAGUCAGAUCAGAUGGAGUCCAUGAGGGAAGGCUUGGAAGCUGAACCUGAAAACUGGUAGGAUGAUGGCAAAAAAGGGCCAGAAGGCCUAGAGAAGGAGAAAAGGGAAAGGCCCACUCUUGAUGCUAAAGAUCAGGAGUGGCAGACCUGGAUGGGGGCUUGGCCUGUGGGCUCCUCCUGAUGUCUGUGGACACAUGUAGUUUUUUUUAAUAUUUAUUUUUUAGUUGUAGUUGGACACAAUACCUCUAUUUCACUUAUUUAUUUUUAUGUGGUGCUGAGGAUCGAACCCAGGGUCUCGCAUGUGUGAGGCAAGUGCUCUACCACUGAACCACAACCCCAGCGCCCCUGUCCACCUAGUUUUUUUGAGUAGAAGGUUUUGGAGUUCAGUGCCAUGGACAUCUCUGCCCGUGGAGUGCAGGCAUCUUGAGGCUCACUGUGUGUGCCUGCUGGGCCUCAUGCCAAAUGCUGUGCACAGCCAUCUCUGGCAUCCAGAUGUGAUGCAGAGGCUUCUCUGAGACUGCAAGUCUUCUUUCCUUCCCUCCUUUCUUUGUCUCUUCCUUCCUAUUCUUUUUUUUUUUUUUUUUUUAACAGGGUCAAUCAGGUCCCAGGCUGGCCUUGAACUCCUGGGCUCAAGCAAUCCUCUUGCCCAAGUCUCCCAAGUAGUUGAGACUAAGCAUAUGCCACUGUACCUGGCUAAAAUGUAUACUAUCCUUUGGUUUAUGUGCUUUUAAUUUACAUAACAUGUUGAUAAGCUUUCCAGUACUGUAAUCAAUACCUGUGACAACCAACUUACAGAAAGGAAAGGUUUGUUUUGGAUCACAGCCUUAGAGGUUUCAGUUCACAGUCAGUUGAUCCCAUUGCUCUUGAGCCUUUGGUAAGGCAGCACAUCAUAGUGGAAGAAUGUGGUAGAGCAAACCACUCACCUUGUGGCCCGAAAGCAAGAAAAAGGGCAGGACAGAGUCUCACAGUCCCCUGCAAGGAUAUGGCCCCAAUGACACGAAGACCUCCCACCAGGCCCCAUCCUCAACUCCACCACCUCUAACAGUGCCAUGCUGGGGAGCUUUUAGGGGACAAUGUUUAUUUGUUUUUUGGUACUGGGGAUUGAACCCAGGGAUGCUUAUCUGCUUAGCUACAUCCCCAGCCCUUUUUAUUUUUUGAGACAGGGUCUAAUGUGGGGAGCCACUCUGAAUGAUUUGCGCCUUCCAUCCUGAAGCAAGAGGCUUUGACCGAUCACUACAUUUCGUAGUGAUCUGGUCAUCGUCCCAGUCAGGAAGUUGAAGGCAUGACUUCAGAUGUAGGCAUGUCACCCAUGGAGUUGAGCUACACUCACCCAUUCCUUUGUAAUAAUACCCCUUUGCCCUGUUUGGGAUAGACUGUUCCAUGGAAAUGCCCUCUGUGUGUCCCCUUCUCUUGCUCUGCCUUUGGGUGUGGCCUUCCUAGAUGUCAGUCAACCUGCUGACAGCAGACAUCACUAAGCUAGACUCAACCCCCUGAAACCUGACUCUUUGCCUCAUUUGAAUGGCUUCUCCUCAAUAAAAGGGUUCAGCGCUCUCUCUCUCUCUCUCUCUCUCUCUCUCUCUCUCUCUCUCUCUCUCUCUCUCUCUCUCUCUCUCCCCUUAAGGUCAGAGGAACUGUCAUAGGACCCCAAAGAAAAAGGUAUCUCUGUCUCUUAUGUAGUUAUUUUGUGCAGCCCAAUUCACCUCAAGUGACCCUGAGUGUUUUAGUCGUGAGGAACUCAACAGUCUAAGGCUCUUCAGCCCUCGCUAAAUUGCUGAGUCUGGCCUUAAACUUGCAAUCCUCCUGCCUCAGCUUCCCAAGUCACUAGGAUUACCAGCAUGUGCCACGACACCCUCCUCUUUGGGGGAUAUUUAACAUGCAAACUGUAGCAUGUAGUUCAGUGUAAGUCCCAUUUAAUUUUUUUUUUUAUGCAACUCUUCCUUUUGGGAUCUCCUCUUGCUAUGUGUAGCUGAUUCUUUGUUCCCAGCUGCUGUAGAAUAUAUACUUCAGGUUGCACUCCCUACAUUCUAUUUACACAUCACCUAAUGAUGAACUUCCACGUUGUCUCUUAGUCUCCAUUGCUGCAAACAGGGCUGCACUGAGUAUCUGCUUUCACAGUCUCUAUGGACCUAGGCAAAAAUUCCUCUGGGUUACCCACCUGCAAAGGGUUUGUUGGUUCAUAGGAUAUCAUAGGAUAUGCCACCAUCCACACCAGGCUGCCUUUUGGGGCUCCUUAUGCCACUCACAUUCUCAUUAGCAGUGCUUGGGAAUUCCUGGUUUGCCAUGUCCUUGUCCACACUGAGUGACACAGAGUUCCCUUGUUUUUUUUUUUUUUUUUUUGAACCAGAUGUGUAAACAAAGACACAUCACAUUGUUUCAAUUUUCCUUUCAUGGAUUCCAAGUGAGUUUGAUGACCCCAAUACUAUCCAGCCAUAUAUAUAUAUAUAUAUAUAUAUAUAUAUAUAUAUACACACACACACACACACACACACAUAUAUAUAUACAUUUUUUAACUUUUCUAUUGAGUUCCUUUAUUUUUGUCUCUUAAAGAUUUGCAAGAGUUCUUGUGUAUUCUAGAUGUGAGUCAUUUUUCAAGUUUAAAUUGCAGAUCUCUUCUAGUGUACCAUCUAUUAAAUUAAAUGACAUCUGUUUAAAUAGAAAUAAAUUUAAAGUAAUAAUAUUAGCUUUUUUUUUUUUAGUUUUGCCUUGAGCUUUGUGGUUUGGGGAAGUUUUUGCUCUGUCCGAUGUCAUCAGGAUACUUUACUGUGUUUUAUCCUAUUCUUGUUUUAAUUUUACUUUCCACAUUUAUGUUUGUAAUCCAUUGGGAAACCAACUUAGUACACUUGAGGUGUAGAUCCAGCUUAACUUUUCUCCAUAUAGCUCCCCCAAAGAUUAAACAAUCAAUCUUUCCCCAUUAGUUUUUUCCUAUUUUUUUUCCUUUUUAUUUUGCAGUACUGGGGAUUGAACCAGGGGUGCUCUAUCAUGGAGCUACAUAUACCCUUAGCCCUUUUUUACAUUUUAUUUUGAGACAGUGUGUCACUAAGUUGCCCAGCCCAGCCUUGAACUUUGAAUCCUUCUGCCUCAGCCUCCCAGGUAACUGAGAUUAUAGAUGUGUACCACCACACCUGGUUUAUAUUGAUCUUAAAGGGUUUCCAUCUAAAGAUUUUCAGAAUUAUUCUGAGAAUAAUGAAUAUAGGAUUUUGGUAUAUAUUCUCUAUAUGUAUAGUUAUUAAAUAAAUAUGUUUAUAUCCUCAGGGUUUUGUUUGUUUGUUUUGGUACUGGAAUUAGACCCAGAGGCACUUUUACCACUAAGCCACAUCUAUAGCCAUUUUUUUUUUUUUUUUUGACAGGGUCUUGCUAGAUUUCUUAUGGCCUCAAUAAUUGCUGAAGCUCUGUAACCGAUGUGAUUCUGCAAUCUGUAUACGGGGUAAAAAUGGGAGUUCAUAACCCACUUGAAUCAAAGUGUGAAAUAUGAU
rnacentral:lncRNA from 1 species